rnacentral:rRNA from 1 species
AUUGAACGCUGGCGGCAGGCCUAACACAUGCAAGUCGAGCGGAUGAAGGGAGCUUGCUCCUGGAUUCAGCGGCGGACGGGUGAGUAAUGCCUAGGAAUCUGCCUGGUAGUGGGGGAUAACGUCCGGAAACGGGCGCUAAUACCGCAUACGUCCUGAGGGAGAAAGUGGGGGAUCUUCAGACCUCACGCUAUCAGAUGAGCCUAGGUCGGAUUAGCUAGUUGGUGGGGUAAAGGCCUACCAAGGCGACGAUCCGUAACUGGUCUGAGAGGAUGAUCAGUCACACUGGAACUGAGACACGGUCCAGACUCCUACGGGAGGCAGCAGUGGGGAAUAUUGGACAAUGGGCGAAAGCCUGAUCCAGCCAUGCCGCGUGUGUGAAGAAGGUCUUCGGAUUGUAAAGCACUUUAAGUUGGGAGGGAGGGCAGUAAGUUAAUACCUUGCUGUUUUGACGUUACCAACAGAAUAAGCACCGGCUAACUUCGUG